GCAUAUUCUCAAGAUGCCUACCUGAAAGGCAAUGAAGCUUAUAGCGGCAAUGCCCGCAAUAUACCUGAACCUCCACCAAUCUGCUAUCCCUGGCUGCCAUCUGCCCCAUCAGCCAUGGCACAGCCAGUUGAAAUAUCUCCUCCUGACUCAUCAUUGAGCAAACAGCAAACCAGUACACCAGUACUGACACAACCUGGUAGGGCCUAUAGAAUGGAAAUACAAGUGCCUCCGUCACCAACAGAUGUUGCAAAAUCAAACACAGCAGUGUGUGUUUGCAAUGAAAGUGUAAGGACUGUCAUUGUGCCUUCUGAGAAGGUUGUAGAUUUGUUAUCCAAUAGAAACAACCAUACAGGUCCUUCACAUAGAACUGAAGAAGUGAGGUAUGGCGUGAAUGAGCAGACCUCUUUAAAAACAGUGUCAAGAACCACAUCACCACCAUUAUCAAUUCCCGCCACUCAUCUAAUUCAUCAGCCUGCAGGCUCCAGAUCAUUGGAACCUUCUGGAAUUUUACUUAAAUCUGGAAAUUACAGUGGACAUUCUGAUGGAAUCUCAAGCAGCAGAUCUCAAGCUGUGGAGGCUCCCUCUGUAUCUGUUAAUCACUAUUCGCCAAAUUCCCAUCAGCACAUAGACUGGAAAAACUAUAAAACUUACAAAGAGUAUAUUGAUAACAGACGAUUGCACAUAGGUUGUCGGACAAUACAAGAAAGAUUAGAUAGUUUAAGAGCAGCAUCUCAAAGCACGACGGAUUAUAACCAGGUCGUCCCCAACCGCACUACUUUGCAGGGACGACGUCGAAGCACCUCUCAUGAUCGAGUGCCCCAGUCUGUCCAGAUACGGCAACGCAGUGUGUCCCAAGAAAGACUGGAAGAUUCUGUGCUAAUGAAGUAUUGUCCAAGAAGUGCGUCUCAAGGAGCACUGACGUCUCCAUCUGUUAGUUUUAGUAAUCAUAGAACUCGUUCAUGGGAUUAUAUUGAGGGACAGGAUGAAACCUUAGAAAAUGUCAAUUCUGGAACUCCAAUACCUGAUUCCAGUGGAGAGAAAAAACAGACUUACAAGUGGAGUGGGUUUACUGAACAGGAUGAUAGACGAGGUAUUUAUGAAAGACCUAGGCAGCAAGAAAUUCAUAAAUCUUUUCGAGGUUCCAAUUUUACUGUGGCUCCAAGUGUUGUUAAUUCUGAUAACAGGCGAAUGAGUGGUAGAGGAGUGGGAUCUGUGUCGCAGUUUAAAAAAAUUCCACCAGAUCUAAAAACACUGCAGUCAAACAGAAGUUUUCAGACUACUUGUGGAAUGUCACCGCCUCGGGGUAUUUCACAAGACAGGUCCCCUCUUGUGAAAGUCCGAAGUAAUUCUCUGAAAGCUCUUUCGACGCAUGUCACAAAACCAUCAUUUAGCCAGAAAUCAUUUGUUUCUAUCAAAGACCAAAGACCAGUAAAUCACUUGCAUCAGAACAGUCUGUUGAAUCAGCAGACAUGGGUAAGGACUGACAGCGCCCCCGAUCAGCAAGUGGAGACUGGGAAAUCCCCCUCUUUAUCUGGAGCCUCUGCCAAGCCUGCCCCUCAGUCGAGUGAAAACGCUGGUACUUCAGAUUUAGAACUACCUGUCAGUCAAAGGAAUCAAGAUUUAAGUUUACAAGAGGCUGAAAUUGAGCAAUCAGAUACUUUAGAUAAUAAAGAAGCUGUCGUCCUAAGGGAAAAACCUCCAUCUGGACGCCAGACACCGCAGCCUUUAAGGCAUCAGUCUUACAUCUUGGCAGUAAAUGACCAGGAGACCGGGUCAGACACUACCUGCUGGCUGCCCAAUGAUGCACGUCGAGAGGUCCACAUAAAAAGAAUGGAGGAAAGAAAAGCCUCGAGUACCAGUCCGCCUGGCGAUUCCUUGGCUUCCAUCCCAUUUAUAGAUGAACCAACUAGCCCUAGCAUUGAUCAUGAUAUUGCACAUAUCCCUGCUUCUGCUGUUAUAUCAGCCUCUACCUCUCAGGUCCCCUCCAUAGCAACAGUUCCUCCUAGCCUCACAACUUCAGCUCCAUUAAUUCGCCGUCAGCUCUCACAUGACCACGAAUCUGUUGGCCCUCCUAGCCUGGAUGCUCAGCCCAACUCAAAGACAGAAAGAUCAAAAUCAUAUGAUGAGGGUCUGGAUGAUUACAGAGAAGAUGCAAAAUUGUCCUUUAAGCACGUAUCUAGUCUGAAGGGAAUCAAGAUUGCAGACAGCCAGAAGUCAUCGGAAGACUCUGGGUCCAGAAAAGAUUCUUCCUCAGAGGUCUUCAGUGAUGCUGCCAAGGAAGGGUGGCUCCAUUUCCGACCCCUUGUCACUGAUAAGGGCAAGCGAGUUGGUGGAAGUAUUCGGCCAUGGAAACAGAUGUACGUUGUCCUUCGGGGUCAUUCACUUUACCUGUACAAAGAUAAAAGAGAGCAGACGACUCCGUCUGAGGAAGAGCAGCCCAUCAGUGUUAAUGCUUGCUUGAUAGACAUCUCUUACAGUGAGACCAAGAGGAAAAAUGUGUUUCGACUCACCACAUCCGACUGCGAAUGCCUGUUUCAGGCUGAAGACAGAGAUGAUAUGUUAGCUUGGAUCAAGACGAUCCAGGAGAGCAGCAACCUAAACGAAGAGGACACUGGAGUCACUAACAGGGAUCUAAUUAGUCGAAGAAUAAAAGAAUACAACAAUCUGAUGAGCAAAGCAGAACAGUUGCCAAAAACACCUCGCCAGAGUCUCAGCAUCAGGCAAACUUUGCUUGGUGCUAAAUCAGAGCCAAAGACUCAAAGCCCACACUCUCCGAAGGAAGAGUCGGAAAGGAAACUUCUCAGUAAAGAUGAUACCAGUCCCCCAAAAGACAAAGGCACAUGGAGAAAAGGCAUUCCAAGUAUCAUGAGAAAGACAUUUGAGAAAAAGCCAACUGCUACAGGAACUUUCGGCGUCCGACUAGAUGACUGCCCACCAGCUCAUACUAAUCGGGUAGGAGACACCAGCCCACCGGAUUUCCUCAAGUCAUUAAUUCAGUUUUGAUUAUAAUGGGAUCUGAGUAUAUAGCCUUUCAGACAACAGAGACUGUCAAUCUAUUUUCCUCUUCAUAGCAGACCUUAGUUUCCCUAAGUAUUUCUGACUGGUAAUGCUUUUUUUCUAAUGUAUUGACUCUGAAAUUGAAUAAUUAUUCAACCAUUAGGAAUUUGUCUGAAAUGGUAAGAAUUCAUCUUCAAAUCGUGUUUCUGCUCUUAGCAUCUUAAACAAGGAUGAGAACAAGGACCUGAUUAAGAAAGUAUAAUACAUGUAAAUGUAUGUGCAUAUAUUUAAAACACCCAUGCCAGGAUUCGUAUCAUGAAUUGAUAUUACUCUCUCCUCCUCCUCCUCUUUUCUUGACUCUUUAUUCAGCGGAACGGUUUCCACAUUCUCUUUACCUAUUGUUACUUCCUUUUUAGAAUGUUAUCUCUCUGGGGGUCCCUCUCUUUCUCUCGGUCUAUUUGUUUUCUUCUUACUGUCUCAAAUAUCUCUUGCAGGUUUUAUCUAUUCCCAGAUCUAUAAUGUCUGUAUUCUUUAUAUUACAUAACAGCAAUUUAUGUUUCCUUUUGGAUGAAAGGGGCAUUUUAGCUGUGAUACACAACUACUAAACAUUUGUGCUGCAUUAAGUAAAAUGUUUAUUUCUUGUUUUGCAGUAUAUUCCAUUAAUAGUUGACAUAUGUUGCAAAUUAGUUGAAGAAAGAGGUCUUGAAUAUACAGGUAUUUAUAGAGUUCCUGGAAAUAAUGCAGCCAUCUCAAGUAUGCAAGAAGAACUCAACAAGGGAAUGGCUGAUAUUGAUAUACAAGAUGAUAAAUGGCGAGAUUUGAAUGUGAUAAGCAGUUUACUAAAAUCCUUCUUCAGAAAGCUCCCUGAGCCUCUCUUCACAAAUGAUAAAUAUGCUGAUUUUAUUGAAGCCAAUCGUAAAGAAGAUCCUCUAGAUCGUCUGAAAACAUUAAAAAGACUAGUAGGUAUUAUUUUAUAUUUUGGGGGAUACAACUAAAAUUCAGCCUCUGAAUCCAUCGUGAAAAUAAUCUGUUUCAGAUUCACGAUUUGCCUGAACAUCAUUAUGAAACACUUAAGUUCCUUUCAGCUCAUCUGAAGACAGUGGCAGAAAAUUCAGAAAAAAAUAAGAUGGAACCAAGAAACCUAGCAAUAGUGUUUGGUCCCACCCUUGUUCGAACAUCAGAAGACAACAUGACCCACAUGGUCACCCACAUGCCUGACCAGUACAAGAUCGUAGAAACGCUCAUCCAGCACCAUGACUGGUUUUUCACAGAAGAAGGUGCUGAAGAGCCUCUUACAACAGUGCAGGAGGAAAGCACAGUAGACUCCCAGCCAGUGCCAAACAUAGAUCAUUUACUCACCAACAUUGGAAGGACAGGAGUCUCCCCAGGAGAUGUAUCAGAUUCAGCUACUAGUGACUCAACAAAAUCUAAGGGUUCUUGGGGAUCUGGAAAGGAUCAGUAUAGCAGGGAACUGCUUGUGUCCUCCAUCUUUGCAGCGGCUAGUCGCAAGAGGAAGAAGCCAAAAGAAAAAGCACAGCCUAGCAGCUCAGAAGAUGAACUGGACAAUGUAUUUUUUAAGAAAGAAAAUGUGGAACAGUGUCACAAUGAUACUAAAGAGGAGUCCAAAAAAGAAAGUGAGACACUAGGCAGAAAACAGAAGAUCAUCAUUGCCAAAGAAAACAGCACUAGGAAAGACCCCAGCACAACAAAAGAUGAAAAGAUAUCACUAGGAAAAGAGAGCACACCUUCCGAAGAACCCUCACCACCACACAACUCAAAACACAACAAGUCACCAACUCUCAGCUGUCGCUUUGCCAUCCUGAAAGAGAGCCCCAGGUCACUUCUGGCACAGAAGUCCUCCCACCUUGAAGAGACAGGCUCUGACUCUGGCACUUUGCUCAGCACGUCUUCCCAGGCCUCCCUGGCAAGGUUUUCCAUGAAGAAAUCAACCAGUCCAGAAACGAAACAUAGUGAGUUUUUGGCCAACGUCAGCACCAUCACCUCAGAUUAUUCCACCACAUCGUCUGCUACAUACUUGACUAGCCUGGACUCCAGUCGACUGAGCCCUGAGGUGCAAUCCGUGGCAGAGAGCAAGGGGGACGAGGCAGAUGACGAGAGAAGCGAACUCAUCAGCGAAGGGCGGCCUGUGGAAACUGACAGUGAGAGCGAGUUUCCCUUGUUCCCAACAGCCUUGACUUCAGAGAGGCUUUUCCGAGGAAAACUGCAAGAAGUGACUAAGAGCAGCCGGAGAAAUUCUGAAGGAAGUGAAUUAAGUUGCACCGAGGGAAGUUUAACAUCAAGUUUAGAUAGCCGGAGACAGCUCUUCAGUUCCCAUAAACUCAUCGAAUGUGAUACUCUUUCCAGGAAAAAAUCAGCUAGAUUCAAGUCAGAUAGUGGAAGUCUAGGAGAUGCCAAGAAUGAGAAAGAAGCACCUUCAUUAACUAAAGUGUUUGAUGUUAUGAAAAAAGGAAAGUCAACUGGGAGUUUACUGACACCCACUAGAGGCGAAUCCGAAAAACAGGAACCCACAUGGAAAACGAAAAUAGCAGAUCGGUUAAAACUGAGACCCAGAGCCCCUGCGGAUGACAUGUUUGGAGUAGGGAAUCACAAAGUGAAUGCCGAGACUGCUAAAAGGAAAAGCAUCCGGCGCAGACAUACACUAGGAGGGCACAGAGAUGCUACUGAAAUCAGCGUUUUGAAUUUUUGGAAAGUGCAUGAGCAGAGCGGGGAGAGAGAAUCUGAACUUUCAGCUGUAAACCGAUUAAAACCAAAAUGCUCAGCCCAGGACCUUUCCAUCUCAGACUGGCUGGCCAGGGAACGCCUACGCACCAGUACCUCUGACCUUAGCAGAGGAGAAAUCAGAGAUCCCCAGACAGAGAACCCAAGCACACGAGAAAUAGCCAUGACCGACACACCUUUGUCUCUUCAUUGCGACACAGGCAGUUCUUCCAGCACCUUGGCUUCAACAAACAGGCCCCUUCUUUCCAUACCACCACAGUCACCUGACCAAAUAAACGGAGAAAGCUUCCAGAACGUGAGCAAAAAUGCUAGUUCUGCAGCGAAUGCCCAACUUCAUAAACUGUCUGAAACCCCAGGCAAUAAAGCAGAGUUUCAUCCCUGUCUUUAAACUGGGGGUAUGUCCACUCUAGCAAGUAAAAAAAAACUACUGUUACACGUUCCAGUAACUCUGUCAAUAUUUUCUUGUAUCAGAAUUGUUAUUAUGCAGCCUUCAUUUGGGCUGGUUUCUUCAUUUUGCACUGUGAAAUAGCUUUACAGUGCAUGACUACAGCCAGAAGAACAUAUAUAUAUAUAUUUAAAAAUAUAUCGGAUAGUUGUAUACAAAUGAGCAAGGUAUUUGUUGCAACUUACUACAUAGCAUAUACCCAAAAUCACUGAAGAAAAUCGCUGGCAUCAGUGUGCAGCAAAUUUGUUCUUUUGGUUUCAUCACUAACAAAAGUGCCUCAUCAUAAAAAUACAGUUGGUUUUUAAUCAUAAAAAUACAGUUGGUUUUUAGGGUGCCAUAUUGUUAAAAUUAGAUAACUUACAUUGAAUAAACGAAUGCGUUUUAUUGGUAACAAAUUUCAUUACAUUUACCAGUUUUAACACAGGUGGAUACAGAACUUCCAUUCUUUAGUCAUUCCAGGUGGAUCUGAGUUUUAUAUUCAAACUUUUAAUACAGUUUUUGAGUUUUGUGUGACUUGAAUUUUUAAUCUUUCUGUAAAAUACGUAACUUAAAUGAACAUAUUAAAUGUGUAUCUUUUCUUCAGAUACCAGAUUUGAUAUAAAUGUUGUAACAUAGGUGUGUAGAUAGUGGAUCCUGGAUGGAACUGGCUUCUUUAUCGAGAAGAAUAUAAUUCUGCAUGAGGACUUAAUGAAUCCAAACCUGUGUCAUGCCUGUGUGCAUACCCAAUUAAACACUGGAAAUAAAAAUUGUUUUGGUGAA
rnacentral:sRNA from 1 species